AUGGCCACACUGUCUCCUCCUGAGACUCAGCGAAGUUGAAAUGUUUGUGAUGAUGCAAUCUCCCCGCGGAAAGACGGAAAGACCCCAUGAACCUUUACUGUAGCUUUGUAUUGGACUUUGAACGGAUCUGUGUAGGAUAGGUGGGAGGCUUUGAAGUGUGGACGCCAGUCUGCGUGGAGCCAACCUUGAAAUACCACCCUGGAGCGAUUGAGGUUCUAACCCAGGUCGCUUAUCGGGAUCGGGGACAGGGCAGGGUAGGCAGUUGGACUGGGGCGGUCUCCUCCUAAAGAGUAACGGAGGAGCUCGAAGGUACGCUCAGCGCGGUCGGACAUCGCGCACUGUGUGCAAAGGCAUAAGCGUGCUUGACUGCAAGAUCGACGGAUCAAGCAGGUAGGAAACUAGGAC
rnacentral:rRNA from 1 species